CGAGAAGGCCGACAUCAUGAAAGCGAUCCGACCGUUUCAUACCUGCAGUUUAGACGCUUCUAGAACCUCCGAGCGCGACUAUCAUGCGCCGCAUGGGCCAUCCUUCGAUUUUGUUGUUGUACGUCUUUUCUUCGAUUUCUUUCCGCCGCACUACGCGCCGCGCGCAGAUCUCGCCGAUAACACGGCGACGAACGAUGCCGUGACGUAAUGGCGUGCUCUAGAUCUGACUGCAAUAACGCAUGCGCGAAUAUCGGAGCGUCGUCGUGAAAAAAAGAGUUACACGCGGGCCCCCGACCUCCAUUUUCCUCUUGCCAGUUGCGCAUGUUGCGAAAGGCAGUUCUUCGGCGUCAUGGUAUGGCUUACCACGAUGUUCAGGCACGGGGCGUGUAGUUGCAGUACGUACGAGUCGCGGUUUAAUUUUUUUGCUUGUGUUUGUGUGUGGACUUUACCUGGACUUAUGGAGCUGUGUACCAGGAACUGCGCGGCCUGGAAUUCAUCGAGGACGACUGCGAGCUUCGUCGUCGGUCGGCAUCAAAAUGCUUCAAGUUGGCUGCUAGGCCAGAGUGCACAUGGACCAGCCGUGGCUUCGCGCUCCAGCGUUAUUCGAGCGCUGACGUACUAACACGCCCCGUGCCACUCCGGCGUAUCUUCCGCACUAUCGCCGACGGGAGUCUUGAUGGCUGCUGGACGUGCUCCCGGCAUUGGAUCGAGAGCGCCGACUGUCUUCACACAUCCCCUGUGCCACAACGGCAGAUCUUCCUGGCGGGUAUCUUCCCGGCACUGCCUCAACUCUACAAACUCCUCAUGCCACCGGGUCUAGCAACUGCAGGCAAGGACAUCGUCAAGGAGUUUCAGCGCCAGCAACACAUCGGGAAUCGCCACAAGGAUCGUCGUUACUGCUAGCUUCAACAUCGGCAUCAAACAAAAUGGCAGGUGAGCCUGCUAACCAGGUUGGCGAGGGUCACGGUCUUCUCCCACGACGGAAGUGCACGUAAUAGCUUCAGGUUUAGCGAACACUAGGCAGGCAGGCAGGUAGCUGUUAGGGGUUUCCGUCGUGGGGUUAAGACCCAUUCGGAAUGUGGUUUUCACGGAUGCAAUGCG